rnacentral:rRNA from 1 species
UACGGAGGGUGCAAGCGUUAUCCGGAUUUACUGGGUUUAAAGGGUGCGUAGGUGGAUAAGUAAGUCAGUGGUGAAAUCUCCGGGCUUAACCCUGAAACUGCCAUUGAUACUAUUUGUCUUGAAUACUUUGGAGGUAAGCGGAAUAUGUCAUGUAGCGGUGAAAUGCUUAGAUAUGACAUAGAACACCAAUUGCGAAGGCAGCUUACUACACAGUGAUUGACACUGAGGCACGAAAGCGUGGGGAUCAAACAGG